UACGUAGGGUGCAAGCGUUGUCCGGAAUUAUUGGGCGUAAAGAGCUCGUAGGCGGUUUGUCGCGUCGGAAGUGAAAACUCAGGGCUCAACCCUGAGCGUGCUUCCGAUACGGGCAGACUAGAGGUAUGCAGGGGAGAACGGAAUUCCUGGUGUAGCGGUGGAAUGCGCAGAUAUCAGGAGGAACACCGGUGGCAAAGGCGGUUCUCUGGGCAUUACCUGACGCUGAGGAGCGAAAGCAUGGGGAGCGAACAGG
rnacentral:rRNA from 1 species